GCGAAACUCGGGUGGAUUUUUUCGCAACAAACACAUGCAAUCUUCCUAAAUAUGCACUAGAACAUGUUUGGGAGUGUUUUUGGGCAUUCGGUUCCGGCACGAAAAAUGAUGCAAAACGGGUGCAUUUCGGCACCCGAAUGCACUGUUGCCGGGUAGCGAAACUCUGGUGGAUUUUUUCGCAACGAACGCAUGCAAUCUUCCUAAUUAGACCCUAGAACAUGUUUGGGAGUGUUUUUGGGCAUUUGGUUCCGGCACGAAAAAUGAUGCAAAACGGGUGCAUUUCGGCACCCGAAUGCACUAUUGCCGGGUAGCGACACUCUGGUGGAUUUUUUCGCAACGAACGCAUGCAAUCUUCCUAAAUAUGCACUAGAACAUGUUUGGGAGUGUUUUUGGGCAUUCGGUUCCGGCACGAAAAAUGAUGCAAAACGGGUGCAUUUCGGCACCCGAAUGCACUAUUGCCGGGUAGCGAAACUCUGGUGGAUUUUUUCGCAACGAACGCAUGCAAUCUUCCUAAUUAGACCCUAGAACAUGUUUGGGAGUGUUUUUGGGCAUUCGGUUCCGGUAUGAAAAACGAUGCAAAACGGGUGCAUUUCGGCACCCGAAUGCACUUUUGCCGGGUAGCGAAACUCGGGUGGAUUUUUUGCAACGAACGCAUGCAAUCUUCCUAAAUAUGCACUAGAACAUGUUUGGGAGUGUUUUUGGGCAUUCGGUUCCGGCACGAAAAAUGAUGCAAAACGGGUGCAUUUCGGCACCCGAAUGCACUAUUGCCGGGUAGCGAAACUCGGGUGGAUUUUUUCGCAACGAACGCAUGCAAUCUUCCUAAAUAUGCACUAGAACAUGUUUGGGAGUGCUUUUGGGCAUUCGGUUCCGGCACGAAAAACGAUGCAAAACGUGUGCAUUUCGGCACCCGAAUGCACUAUUGCCGGGUAGCGAAACUCGGGUGGAUUUUUUCGCAACGAACGCAUGCAAUCUUUCUAAAUAUGCACUAGAACAUGUUUGGGAGUGUUUUUGGGCAUUCGGUUCCGGCACGAAAAAUGAUGCAAAACGGGUGCAUUUCGGCACCCGAAUGCACUGUUGCCGGGUAGCGAAACUCGGGUGGAUUUUUUCGCAACGAACACAUGCAAUCUUCCUAAAUAUGCACUAGAACAUGUUUGGGAGUGUUUUUGGGCAUUCGGUUCCGGCACGAAAAAUGAUGCAAAACGGGUGCAUUUCGGCACCCGAAUGCACUAUUGCCGGGUAGCGAAACUCUGGUGGAUUUCUUCGCAACGAACGCAUGCAAUCUUCCUAAAUAUGCACUAGAACAUGUUUGGGAGUGUUUUUGGGCAUUCGGUUCCGGCACGAAAAAUGAUGCAAAACGGGUGCAUUUCGGCACCCGAAUGCACUGUUGCCGGGUAGCGAAACUCGGGUGGAUUUUUUCGCAACGAACACAUGCAAUCUUCCUAAAUAUGCACUAGAACAUGUUUGGGAGUGUUUUUGGGCAUUCGGUUCCGGCACGAAAAAUGAUGCAAAACGGGUGCAUUUCGGCACCCGAAUGCACUAUUGCCGGGUAGCGAAACUCUGGUGGAUUUUUUCGCAACGAACGCAUGCAAUCUUCCUAAUUAGACCCUAGAACAUGUUUGGGAGUGUUUUUGGGCAUUCGGUUCCGGUAUGAAAAACGAUGCAAAACGGGUGCAUUUCGGCACCCGAAUGCACUUUUGCCGGGUAGCGAAACUCGGGUGGAUUUUCUCGCAACGAACGCAUGCAAUCUUCCUAAAUAUGCACUAGAACAUGUUUGGGAGUGUUUUUGGGCAUUCGGUUCCGGCACGAAAAAUGAUGCAAAACGGAUGCAUUUCGGCACCCGAAUGCACUAUUGCCGGGUAGCGAAACUCGGGUGGAUUUUUCCGCAACGAACGCAUGCAAUCUUUCUAAAUAUGCACUAGAACAUGUUUGGGAGUGUUUUUGGGCAUUCGGUUCCGGCACAAAAAAUGAUGCAAAACGGGUGCAUUUCGGCACCCGAAUGCACUAUUGCCGGGUAGCGAAACUCUGGUGGAUUUUUUCGCAACGAACGCAUGCAAUCUUCCUAAUUAGACCCUAGAACAUGUUUGGGAGUGUUUUUGGGCAUUCGGUUCCGGUAUGAAAAACGAUGCAAAACGGGUGCAUUUCGGCACCCGAAUGCACUUUUGCCGGGUAGCGAAACUCGGGUGGAUUUUUUCGCAACGAACGCAUGCAAUCUUCCUAAAUAUGCACUAGAACAUGUUUGGGAGUGCUUUUGGGCAUUCGGUUCCGGCACGAAAAACGAUGCAAAACGGGUGCAUUUCGGCACCCGAAUGCACUAUUGCCGGGUAGCGAAACUCGGGUGGAUUUUUUCGCAACGAACGCAUGCAAUCUUCCUAAAUAUGCACUAGAACAUGUUUGGGAGUGUUUUUGGGCAUUCGGUUCCGGCACGAAAAAUGAUGCAAAACGGGUGCAUUUCGGCACCCGAAUGCACUGUUGCCGGGUAGCGAAACUCGGGUGGAUUUUUUCGCAACGAACACAUGCAAUCUUCCUAAAUAUGCACUAGAACAUGUUUGGGAGUGUUUCUGGGCAUUCGGUUCCGGCACGAAAAAUGAUGCAAAACGGGUGCAUUUCGGCACCCGAAUGCACUAUUGCCGGGUAGCGAAACUCUGGUGGAUUUUUUCGCAACGAACGCAUGCAAUCUUCCUAAUUAGACCCUAGAACAUGUUUGGGAUUGUUUUUGGGCAUUCGGUUCCGGUAUGAAAAACGAUGCAAAACGGGUGCAUUUCGGCACCCGAAUGCACUUUUGCCGGGGUAGCGAAACUCGGGUGGAUUUUUUCGCAACGAACGCAUGCAAUCUUCCUAAAUAUGCACUAGAACAUGUUUGGGAGUGUUUUUGGGCAUUCGGUUCCGGCACGAAAAAUGAUGCAAAACGGGUGCAUUUCGGCACCCGAAUGCACUAUUGCCGGGUAGCGAAACUCUGGUGGAUUUUUUCGCAACGAACGCAUGCAAUCUUCCUAAUUAGACCCUAGAACAUGUUUGGGAGUGUUUUUGGGCAUUCGGUUCCGGCACGAAAAAUGAUGCAAAACGGGUGCAUUUCGGCACCCGAAUGCACUGUUGCCGGGUAGCGAAACUCGGGUGGAUUUUUUCGCAACGAACACAUGCAAUCUUCCUAAAUAUGCACUAGAACAUGUUUGGGAGUGUUUUUGGGCAUUCGGUUCCGGCACGAAAAAUGAUGCAAAACGGGUGCAUUUCGGCACCCGAAUGCACUAUUGCCGGGUAGCGAAACUCUGGUGGAUUUUUUCGCAACGAACGCAUGCAAUCUUCCUAAUUAGACCCUAGAACAUGUUUGGGAGUGUUUUUGGGCAUUCGGUUCCGGUAUGAAAAACGAUGCAAAACGGGUGCAUUUCGGCACCCGAAUGCACUUUUGCCGGGUAGCGAAACUCGGGUGGAUUUUCUCGCAACGAACGCAUGCAAUCUUCCUAAAUAUGCACUAGAACAUGUUUGGGAGUGUUUUUGGGCAUUCGGUUCCGGCACGAAAAAUGAUGCAAAACGGGUGCAUUUCGGCACCCGAAUGCACUAUUGCCGGGUAGCGAAACUCGGGUGGAUUUUUUCGCAACGAACGCAUGCAAUCUUCCUAAAUAUGCACUAGAACAUGUUUGGGAGUGUUUUUGGGCAUUCGGUUCCGGCACGAAAAAUGAUGCAAAACGGGUGCAUUUCGGCACCCGAAUGCACUAUUGCCGGUUAGCGAAACUCGGGUGGAUUUUUUCGCAACGAACGCAUGCAAUCUUCCUAAAUAUGCACUAGAACAUGUUUGGGAGUGUUUUUGGGCAUUCGGUUCCGGCACGAAAAAUGAUGCAAAACGGGUGCAUUUCGGCACCCGAAUGCAUUGUUGCCGGGUAGCGAAACUCGGGUGGAUUUUUUCGCAACGAACACAUGCAAUCUUCCUAAAUAUGCACUAGAACAUGUUUGGGAGUGUUUCUGGGCAUUCGGUUCCGGCACGAAAAAUGAUGCAAAACGGGUGCAUUUCGGCACCCGAAUGCACUAUUGCCGGGUAGCGAAACUCUGGUGGAUUUUUUCGCAACGAACGCAUGCAAUCUUCCUAAUUAGACCCUAGAACAUGUUUGGGAUUGUUUUUGGGCAUUCGGUUCCGGUAUGAAAAACGAUGCAAAACGGGUGCAUUUCGGCACCCGAAUGCACUUUUGCCAGGUAGCGAAACUCGGGUGGAUUUUUUCGCAACGAACGCAUGCAAUCUUCCUAAAUAUGCACUAGAACAUGUUUGGGAGUGUUUUUGGGCAUUCGGUUCCGGCACGAAAAAUGAUGCAAAACGGGUGCAUUUCGGCACCCGAAUGCACUGUUGCCGGGUAGCGAAACUCGGGUGGAUUUUUUCGCAACGAACGCAUGCAAUCUUCCUAAAUAUGCACUAGAACAUGUUUGGGAGUGUUUUUGGGCAUUCGGUUCCGGCACGAAAAAUGAUGCAAAACGGGUGCAUUUCGGCACCCGAAUGCACUGUUGCCGGGUAGCGAAACUCGGGUGGAUUUUUUCGCAACGAACCCAUGCAAUCUUCCUAAAUAUGCACUAGAACAUGUUUGGGAGUGUUUUUGGGCAUUCGGUUCCGGCACGAAAAAUGAUGCAAAACGGGUGCAUUUCGGCACCCGAAUGCACUAUUGCCGGGGUAGCGAAACUCUGGUGGAUUUUUUCGCAACGAACGCAUGCAAUCUUCCUAAUUAGACCCUAGAACAUGUUUGGGAGUGUUUUUGGGCAUUCGGUUCCGGUAUGAAAAACGAUGCAAAACGGGUGCAUUUCGGCACCCGAAUGCACUUUUGCCGGGUAGCGAAACUCGGGUGGAUUUUUUCACAACGAACGCAUGCAAUCUUCCUAAAUAUGCACUAGAACAUGUUUGGGAGUGUUUUUGGGCAUUCGGUUCCGGCACGAAAAAUGAUGCAAAACGGGUGCAUUUCGGCACCCGAAUGCACUAUUGCCGGGUAGCGAAACUCUGGUGGAUUUUUUCGCAACGAACGCAUGCAAUCUUCCUAAUUAGACCCUAGAACAUGUUUGGGAGUGUUUUUGGGCAUUCGGUUCCGGCACGAAAAAUGAUGCAAAACGGGUGCAUUUCGGCACCCGAAUGCACUGUUGCCGGGUAGCGAAACUCGGGUGGAUUUUUUCGCAACGAACACAUGCAAUCUUCCUAAAUAUGCACUAGAACAUGUUUGGGAGUGUUUUUGGGCAUUCGGUUCCGGCACGAAAAAUGAUGCAAAACGGGUGCAUUUCGGCACCCGAAUGCACUAUUGCCGGGUAGCGAAACUCUGGUGGAUUUUUUCGCAACGAACGCAUGCAAUCUUCCUAAUUAGACCCUAGAACAUGUUUGGGAGUGUUUUUGGGCAUUCGGUUCCGGUAUGAAAAAUGAUGCAAAACGGGUGCAUUUCGGCACCCGAAUGCACUUUUGCCGGGUAGCGAAACUCGGGUGGAUUUUCUCGCAACGAACGCAUGCAAUCUUCCUAAAUAUGCACUAGAACAUGUUUGGGAGUGUUUUUGGGCAUUCGGUUCCGGCACGAAAAAUGAUGCAAAACGGGUGCAUUUCGGCACCCGAAUGCACUAUUGCCGGGUAGCGAAACUCGGGUGGAUUUUUUCGCAACGAACGCAUGCAAUCUUCCUAAAUAUGCACUAGAACAUGUUUGGGAGUGUUUUUGGGCAUUCGGUUCCGGCACGAAAAAUGAUGCAAAACGGGUGCAUUUCGGCACCCGAAUGCACUAUUGCCGGUUAGCGAAACUCGGGUGGAUUUUUUCGCAACGAACGCAUGCAAUCUUCCUAAAUAUGCACUAGAACAUGUUUGGGAGUGUUUUUGGGCAUUCGGUUCCGGCACGAAAAAUGAUGCAAAACGGGUGCAUUUCGGCACCCGAAUGCAUUGUUGCCGGGUAGCGAAACUCGGGUGGAUUUUUUCGCAACGAACACAUGCAAUCUUCCUAAAUAUGCACUAGAACAUGUUUGGGAGUGUUUCUGGGCAUUCGGUUCCGGCACGAAAAAUGAUGCAAAACGGGUGCAUUUCGGCACCCGAAUGCACUAUUGCCGGGUAGCGAAACUCUGGUGGAUUUUUUCGCAACGAACGCAUGCAAUCUUCCU
rnacentral:lncRNA from 1 species